CCUACGGGAGGCUGCAGUAGGGAAUAUUGCUCAAUGGGGGAAACCCUGAAGCAGCAACGCCGCGUGGAGGAUGAAGGUUUUCGGAUUGUAAACUCUUUUUGUUAGAGAAGAUAAUGACGGUAUCUAACGAAUAAGCACCGGCUAACUCCGUGCCAGCAUCCGCGGUCAUACGGAGGGUGCAAGCGUUACUCGGAAUCACUGGGCGUAAAGAGCGCGUAGGCGGGAUAGCAAGUCAGAUGUGAAAUCCUAUGGCUUAACCAUAGAACUGCAUUUGAAACUGUUAUUCUAGAGUAUGGGAGAGGUAGGUGGAAUUCUUGGUGUAGGGGUAAAAUCCGUAGAGAUCAAGAGGAAUACUCAUUGCGAAGGCGACCUGCUAGAACAUAACUGACGCUGAUGCGCGAAAGCGUGGGGAGCAAACAGGAUUAGAUACCCCAGUAGUC
rnacentral:rRNA from 1 species